CCAGCUGAGGGUCUGACUUAACCCCUUUCAGGGAGGAGAAUCUGAAGACUCAGUCUUGGCCAAGAAUUAAGAGUGGAUAAAAUGAUCCAGUGAGGAACAAGCCAUCAAAAAGCCUCUGAAGGGAACAAGGACAACUCCCUUCUUCAGGGAUGUAUUUUAUCCCACACUGUGAUUCAGCUGGAGAAGACUAGAGGCCACGAUCUCUGCUCUGGAGUCAGGAUGGAAGUAUUUGGCAGUGAUUCUAGUCUUCCACACACUCCCAAGUUCAUCUAAUUCACCCUGAGGAAGCUGAGGCUCAGAGAGGUGAUGGGACUCAUCAAAGACUCCGAAGCUGGCAGCUGCAUGUGAGGACUUCUUAAGAACAUGAAGAAAUGAAAGCUAACCCAAGGAGCUCUCUAUGCGCUUCUCCAUUCUCUCCUCAAGCUCUCAGAUUUUUGGAAUACCUAGUCCCUGAUAUUUCUUGGGAAAGAUACAGGUGCAGCUAUUUGUCCAUGGGCCUAUGAUUAACACUCAGCAUGGAGCUGGCACCCACUAAGCAUCGAAUAAUGAUCAUCUCUUGGAUUAUGAUCAUUUCCCCAUACUUGCUAUGUUCUGAAUGGGAAAUUACUGUUGGCAAGAGGUAUUUAGAGAUGUGAAGGGCUUUGCAUGCCCUAAAUACCUUCGAAAGAAAGGUUUGUUAAAACUAAAAGGUGUUCAGAUCAUUCAAUAAAGGUGAGGAACUUGGUGUGCCC
rnacentral:lncRNA from 1 species